UACGUAGGGGGCAAGCGUUGUUCGGAAUUACUGGGCGUAAAGGGCGCGUAGGCGGCACGGCAAGUCGGGAGUGAAAGGCCUGGGCUCAACCGAGGAACUGCUUUCGAGACUGCCGAGCUAGAGUGCGGAAGGGGCAACUGGAAUUCCCAGUGUAGCAGUGAAAUGCGUAGAUAUUGGGAAGAACACCUGAGGCGAAGGCGGGUUGCUGGGCCGACACUGACGCUCAUGCACGAAAGCGUGGGGAGCAAACAGG
rnacentral:rRNA from 1 species